rnacentral:rRNA from 1 species
AUUGAACGCUGGCGGCAGGCCUAACACAUGCAAGUCGAGCGGAUGAAGGGAGCUUGCUCCUGGAUUCAGCGGCGGACGGGUGAGUAAUGCCUAGGAAUCUGCCUGGUAGUGGGGGAUAACGUCCGGAAACGGGCGCUAAUACCGCAUACGUCCUGAGGGAGAAAGUGGGGGAUCUUCGGACCUCACGCUAUCAGAUGAGCCUAGGUCGGAUUAGCUAGUUGGUGGGGUAAAGGCCUACCAAGGCGACGAUCCGUAGCUGGUCUGAGAGGAUGAUCAGCCACACUGGAACUGAGACACGGUCCAGACUCCUACGGGAGGCAGCAGUGGGGAAUAUUGGACAAUGGGCGAAAGCCUGAUCCAGCCAUGCCGCGUGUGUGAAGAAGGUCUUCGGAUUGUAAAGCACUUUUAGUUGGGAGGAAGGGCAGUAAGUUAAUACCUUGCUGUUUUGACGUUACCAAAAGAAUAAGCACCGGCUAACUUCGUG